UACGUAGGGUGCGAGCGUUGUCCGGAUUUAUUGGGCGUAAAGAGCUCGUAGGCGGUUUGUCGCGUCGGCCGUGAAAUCUCCACGCUUAACGUGGAGCGUGCGGUCGAUACGGGCAGACUUGAGUUCGGUAGGGGAGACUGGAAUUCCUGGUGUAGCGGUGAAAUGCGCAGAUAUCAGGAGGAACACCGGUGGCGAAGGCGGGUCUCUGGGCCAGUACUGACGCUGAGGAGCGAAAGCGUGGGGAGCAAACAGG
rnacentral:rRNA from 1 species